GCCAGACUCCUACGGGAGGCAGCAGUGGGGGAUAUUGCACAAUGGGGGGAACCCUGAUGCAGCGACGCCGCGUGGGUGAAGGAGCGUUUCGGCGCGUAAAGCCCUAUCGGCAGGGAAGAAGGAGGACGGUACCUGACUAAGAAGCCCCGGCUAACUACGUGCCAGCAGCCGCGGUAAUACGUAGGGGGCAAGCGUUAUCCGGAUUUACUGGGUGUAAAGGGGGCGCAGACGGCAGCGCAAGCCAGGAGUGAAAGCCCGGGGCCCAACCCCGGGACUGCUCUUGGAACUGCGCGGCUGGAGUGCAGGAGGGGCAGGCGGAAUUCCUGGUGUAGCGGUGAAAUGCGUAGAUAUCAGGAGGAACACCGGUGGCGAAGGCGGCCUGCUGGACUGCGACUGACGUUGAGGCUCGAAAGCGUGGGGAGCAAACAGGAUUAGAUACCCUAGUAC
rnacentral:rRNA from 1 species